rnacentral:sRNA from 1 species
UGUAUCUGAAGUCUGACGAGGAUGAGAACGUCCGGGGGCAAGAGGUUCGACCCGAGCGAAGCGAGAGAACGUUGCGUCAGCAACGGCCCGCAGGGCGAGCCACGCAGUGGCGAGUCAUCCUCUAUCACCGACCA